UGAAUGUCCAGACAGUGGAAGAGGUGU
rnacentral:piRNA from 1 species